GGUGCCGGCCUAUCGGUGCUCCCCCUAUGGCUUGUACCUUGGCAGAGUCAACAUACAUAUGAGAUUUCUUUGGUAAUCAACUUCUUAUUUCAUUAAGCAACAUUGUUUAUAUAGUUCUCCUAGUUCACAAUUCUUUUGAGUGCUUUAAUCUAUACGACCCUAUAGGUUAAGUAGUAAUUAUAGGUGUAAGCGUGGUGCUUAGACCUAGGUUACUUGUGGAUGCACCCUACAUUCUGGACCGAUGGUAGCUCGUGGAGGGUGAAUUUUAUAGCCUCAUUGAGUCCUAUGUAGCCCACCUCCUGUCUGUAGGCAAAGUAGGGUGCAGUUGCUAGGAUAAACAUCCUCUGCUGGUGUCUUUUUCCUAAUGCGGUGUCUCUAGUUGAAUAGAAGACAUAGUUUACUGAUAUAUACUUUUUGCAAUUUCCUCUAUACUCCCAAUCUUCUCAAGUCUUGUGCUACUUUGGGUUAAGUUAGACCAUAGUUAACCUCACACAUUUCCAUGUGGAAACAAUAUUUAAAACCUUUGGGUGAAGUGCUCUAUCAGUAUUCGUGUGCUUGCGG
rnacentral:lncRNA from 1 species